rnacentral:rRNA from 1 species
AUACGUAGGGGGCGAGCGUUGUCCGGAAUGAUUGGGCGUAAAGGGCGCGUAGGCGGCCUGUUAAGUCUGGAGUGAAAGUCCUGUUUUCAAGAUGGGAAUUGCUUUGGAUACUGAUGGGCUUGAGUGCAGGAGAGGUUAUCGGAAUUCCCGGUGUAGCGGUGAAAUGCGUAGAGAUCGGGGGGAACACCAGUGGCGAAGGCGGGUAUCUGGACUGCAACUGACGCUGAGGCGCGAAAGUGUGGGGAGCAAACAGGAUUAGAUACCCUGGUAGUCCACACUGUAAACGAUGAAUGCUAGGUGUAAGAGGUAUCGACCCCUUUUGUGCCGGAGUUAACACAAUAAGCAUUCCGCCUGGGGAGUACGGCCGCAAGGUUGAAACUCAAAUGAAUUGACGGGG